CCAAUAGCGUAUAUUAAAGUUGUUGCAGUUAAAAAGCUCGUAGUUGAAUUUCGGGAUCAAUAUGUCGGUCGUGCCUUCGGUACGUACUGGCAUCAUUGGUUUCUCCCUUCUGACGAACCAUGAUGUCAUUAAUUUGGUGUUAUGGGGAGUUAGGACUGUUACUUUGAAAAAAUUAGAGUGUUUAAAGCAGGCUCACGCUUGAAUACAUUAGCAUGGAAUAAUGAAAUAGGACGUUUGAUUCUAUUUUGUUGGUUUCUAGGAUCGACGUAAUGAUUAAUAGGGAUAGUUGGGGGCAUUAGUAUUCAAUUGUCAGAGGUGAAAUUCUUGGAUUUAUUGAAGACUAACUACUGCGAAAGCAUUUGCCAAGGAUGUUUUCAUUAAUCAAGAACGAAAGUUAGGGGAUCGAAGACGAUCAGAUACCGUCGUAGUCUUAACCAUAAACUAUGCCGACUAGGGAUCGGAUGAUGUUAAUUUUUUAAUGACUCAUUCGGCGCCUUACG
rnacentral:rRNA from 1 species